UCAAGCAUAUUGCAGCCCAAAACCGGUCACUCACUGAAGCUAAGCAGGGCCGAGCCUGGUCAGUACCUGGAUGGGAGACCACAUGGGAAAGCUAGGCUGCUGUUGGA
rnacentral:rRNA from 1 species